rnacentral:rRNA from 1 species
AACGGGAGGGGCGAGCGUUAUUCAUGAUUAUUGGGCGUAAAGGGUACGCAGGCGGUCUUCUGGCAGUUAAUUUGGAAAACCCAGAGCUCAACUCCGGCAAAGAAUUUAAACGCAGAGACUAGAGUCAAAAAGAAGAUAGCAGUAUUUUUAAAGUAGAGAUGAAAAACGUCGAUAUUAAAAAGACUCCCAAAGGCGAAAGCAGCUAUCUAAGAAUGAACUGACGCUAAGGUACGAAGGCAUGGGUAUCAAACCGG